GCUGGGCACGGUGAUGCAUGCCUGUAACCCCAGCAGCUCAGGAGGCUGAGACAGGAGGAUCAUGAGUUCAAAACAGCCUCAGCAAAAACUGAGGUGCGUUAAGCAACUCAGUGAGACCCUGUCUCUA
rnacentral:sRNA from 1 species